AGUCUCUCCUCCUAAUGGAGAAUUGACACAGAGCUGUGUUUUUUCAUAAUACUUACAAAUCCACAACAGAAGAAUAAAAAAGAAACAUAUUUAAAACAGAAAAAACACACAUAUAAUGAGUUAUUUAGUGACCCACUUUAUUGUCCAAUUUGACCAAUUUGUCCAAAAUCAAUUUGAACUACGUUUUCAAAAUAAACUUCUUAAUCGAGCCCAAAACAAUCUAUUUUGCCCUAUCUUUUUCUUCCUCUAAUGGACUCCUGUCCCUGGCCAAUCAGAUCCCUCUACAUUCGGGCAGAACCGGACAACUUGUGUACCAAGUUGUGAAUAAAUGCUCUGUGAAAAUGGCACCACCUGGAUUGGCCUCAGUAGCUCUGUCUGCCUCAGUAGCUCUAUGUUGUAAUGCUGAGCUUUGAGUUGAUGAUUCCUUAAACUAAGGAAAGCCUUGAUCUGUUUUCUGUUAAAUGAAAUAGUCUAGAAAAGUACUGUCUUAAAAUAUCAGUCCUAAAAAGGGGAAGUCUGCAUUGAAGUGUUGGUUAGGCUUGUGAGGGACUGUAUAUUAAAAUCUGAAAUCUGUUAAUUCACCCCAAUUCACUCAUACCCUGAGGUACUAUGGAAUGUACAAGCAUGUAAAACUAACCUUUCUGAACAGUCUAUACUGUUAUAACAUUUGUAUACAUGAAGUGAACUCAAAUCCUAGUAUCAUAAGAAUUUUCUGCAUUCUAAGUCCUUUCUUUUGUUAUUUUGCCUGUUUUAAUUGUUGCUGAACCUUUUGCUUCCCUCAUUAUUUACCCCUUGUGUUACUGUUUUGAAUUGUUUGCCUGUUCUUUAUAAGUGUUCCAUUUUACCGUACACGGAUUCUACUCAGCCUUCAUUACAGGAUACUUCGCCAAUUGAAGUCAAAGGAAGGAAGGAAAGAAGGAACAGGGUGAAACGGGAUAUAGGAGUCAUCUGAUGUAACUUGUGUGCACACUAGAGUACUUCAUGGCCUUCCAAUCCUCCUGGGGGAUGAUUCUGUGGAAUUUUACAGGACAUGCUUUGAUUCAGAUGUGAUUGUAGACCUGAGUGCAGCUGAUGUUGGCCUGCUCACAGUUUUACCAGAAGACAUGCCUGCCCAAACUCCACAUGCCCUCAAUUUCGACUCAUUAAGGGCAAUCAUUCUCGAGGGAAAAAUUGUGGUUGGUGAUGUCCCAAACUUGCCACAUGCUGUAUGUCUUCUCUUUGCUUUGCUCUAUGCCCUAAAUUUAGACUACCCAAAGACAACGAGAAGCACAUUUGAUGCUACUCAGAGAGUAUUUCUGUCAUUGGGAAGUAAGAAUCUCAAGCCCAAACUUCAAACUCUAUUUCAUCAGAAAUAAAGGGAGGGACAUUACACAGCACAAGAUUUUCUUAUGUGGAACUGAUGAAGAAUCUCUUUUAAGUUAAUCAUUGCACCUAUACUCUCACUCUACUUUCACAC